AGCGAACGCUGGCGGCAGGCCUAACACAUGCAGGUCGAACGGAUCCUUCGGGAUUAGUGGCGGACGGGUGAGUAACACGUGGGAACGUGCCCUUUGGUUCGGCACAACUCAGGGAAACUUGAGCUAAUACCGGAUGUGCCCUUCGGGGGAAAGAUUUAUCGCCAUUGGAGCGGCCCGCGUCUGAUUAGCUAGUUGGUGAGGUAAAGGCUCACCAAGGCGACGAUCAGUAGCUGGUCUGAGAGGAUGAUCAGCCACAUUGGGACUGAGACACGGCCCAAACUCCUACGGGAGGCAGCAGUGGGGAACCUUGCGCAAUGGGCGAAAGCCUGACGCAGCCAUGCCGCGUGAAUGAUGAAGGUCUUAGGAUUGUAAAAUUCUUUCACCGGGGACGAUAAUGACGGUACCCGGAGAAGAAGCCCCGGCUAACUUCGUGCCAGCCGCCGCCGUAACAC
rnacentral:rRNA from 1 species